rnacentral:misc_RNA from 1 species
GAUGAAGAACGUAGCGAAAUGCGAUAAGUAAUGUGAAUUGCAGAAUUCAGUGAAUCAUCGAAUCUUUGAACGCACAUUGCGCCCGUCAGUAUUCUGGCGGGCAUGCCUGUUCGAGCGUCAUUACGCCCCUCAAGUCCCCUGUGGACUUGGUGUUGGGGAUCGGCGAGGCUGGUUUUCCAGCACAGCCGUCCCUUAAAUUUAUUGGCGGUCUCGCCGUGGCCCUCCUCUGCGCAGUAGUAAAACACUCGCAACAGGAGCCCGGCGCGGUCCACUGCCGUAAAACCCCCCAACUUUUUAUAGUUGACCUCGAAUCAGGUAGGACUACCCGCUGAACUUAAGCAUAUCAAUAAGCGGAGGA